GCGGGAGUAGCUCAGUUGGUAGAGUGUCAGCUUCCCAAGCUGAAUGUCGCGGGUUCGAGUCCCGUCUUCCGCUCCA
rnacentral:tRNA from 2 species